rnacentral:rRNA from 1 species
CCCUUAGAUGUCCUAGGCCGCACGCGCGCUACACUGACAUGUUCAACAAGUUUCUCCUAGUUCGACAGGACUGGGAAAUCUUUGAACGCAUGUCGUGAUAGGGAUAGAUCAUUGCAAUUAUUGAUCUUGAACGAGGAAUUCCUAGUAAACGCGAGUCAUCAGCUCGCAUUGAUUACGUCCCUGCCCUUUGUACACACCGCCCGUCGCACCUACCGAUUGAAUGUUUCGGUGAAGAUUCCGGAUAGGACUGAUUUGAUUUAUUUCAUUUCUGACCUAAAAGCUAUCUAAACCUCAACAUUUAGAGGAAGGUGAAGUCGUAACA